rnacentral:rRNA from 1 species
UACCAGCUCUCCGAGUUGUAGGGACGAUUAUUGGGCUUAAAGCGUCCGUAGCCGGCUUAGCAAGUCUCCUGUUAAAUUCAGCGACCCAAUCGUUGAGCCGCGGGAGAUACUACUAGGCUAGGAGGCGGGAGAGGUCGACGGUACUUUCAGGGUAGGGGUGAAAUCCUAUAAUCCCGGGAGGACCACCAGUGGCGAAGGCUGUCGACUAGAACGCGCUCGACGGUGAGGGACGAAAGCUGGGGGAGCGAACCGGAUUAGAUACCCGGGUAGUCCCAGCUGUAAACGAUGCGGGCUAGGUGUUGGGGUGGCUACGGGCCACUUCAGUGCCGCAGGAAAGCCAUUAAGCCCGCCGCCUGGGGAGUACGGCCGCAAGGCUGAAACUUAAAGGAAUUGGCGGGGGAGCACCACAAGGCGUGAAGCUUGCGGUUC